rnacentral:lncRNA from 1 species
UAGACGUCUCGAGAUGGAGUCAAUCGGGAUCUCACUGAGGCUGUUCCUCGACUUCCGGGAGAAACACUAAUCACUGACAAAGAAGUUAUUUACAUAUGUCCUUUCAAUGGCCCCAUUAAGGGAAGAGUUUACAUCACAAAUUAUCGUCUUUAUUUAAGAAGUUUGGAAACGGUAAGUAGAAUAUAAGACCAUAAAGAUGACCCUAACUGUUAAAGAUAAUGCUAAAUUGUUUCUCUUCUACUUUGCAAGAUUGACUGUGGGUCAAAUUAACAUGGGGUAUAUUUGCUUCUCAACUCUUAAUUUUUU